rnacentral:rRNA from 2 species
GGGUUGUGAGGUUAAGCGACUAAGCGUACACGGUGGAUGCCCUGGCAGUCAGAGGCGAUGAAGGGCGUGCUAAUCUGCGAUAAGCGCCGGUAAGGUGAUAUGAACCGUUAUAACCGGCGAUACCCGAAUGGGGAAACCCAGUGUGACUCGUCACACUAUCAUUAACUGAAUCCAUAGGUUAAUGAGGCGAACCGGGGGAACUGAAACAUCUAAGUACCCCGAGGAAAAGAAAUCAACCGAGAUUCCCCCAGUAGCGGCGAGCGAACGGGGAGGAGCCCAGAGCCUGAAUCAGCAUGUGUGUUAGUGGAAGCGUCUGGAAAGGCGCGCGAUACAGGGUGACAGCCCCGUACACAAAAGCGCAUGUGCUGUGAGCUCGAUGAGUAGGGCGGGACACGUGGUAUCCUGUCUGAAUAUGGGGGGACCAUCCUCCAAGGCUAAAUACUCCUGACUGACCGAUAGUGAACCAGUACCGUGAGGGAAAGGCGAAAAGAACCCCGGCGAGGGGAGUGAAAAAGAACCUGAAACCGUGUACGUACAAGCAGUGGGAGCACAGGUUUACCUGUGUGACUGCGUACCUUUUGUAUAAUGGGUCAGCGACUUAUAUUCUGUAGCAAGGUUAACCGUAUAGGGGAGCCGGAGGGAAACCGAGUCUUAACCGGGCGUUAAGUUGCAGGGUAUAGACCCGAAACCCGGUGAUCUAGCCAUGGGCAGGUUGAAGGUUGGGUAACACUAACUGGAGGACCGAACCGACUAAUGUUGAAAAAUUAGCGGAUGACCUGUGGCUGGGGGUGAAAGGCCAAUCAAACCGGGAGAUAGCUGGUUCUCCCCGAAAGCUAUUUAGGUAGCGCCUCGUGAACUCAUCUCCGGGGGUAGAGCACUGUUUCGGCUAGGGGGCCAUCCCGGCUUACCAACCCGAUGCAAACUGCGAAUACCGGAGAAUGUUAUCACGGGAGACACACGGCGGGUGCUAACGUCCGUCGUGAAGAGGGAAACAACCCAGACCGCCAGCUAAGGUCCCAAAGUCAUGGUUAAGUGGGAAACGAUGUGGGAAGGCCCAGACAGCCAGGAUGUUGGCUUAGAAGCAGCCAUCAUUUAAAGAAAGCGUAAUAGCUCACUGGUCGAGUCGGCCUGCGCGGAAGAUGUAACGGGGCUAAACCAUGCACCGAAGCUGCGGCAGCGACACUGUGUGUUGUUGGGUAGGGGAGCGUUCUGUAAGCCUGUGAAGGUGGCCUGUGAGGGUUGCUGGAGGUAUCAGAAGUGCGAAUGCUGACAUAAGUAACGAUAAAGCGGGUGAAAAGCCCGCUCGCCGGAAGACCAAGGGUUCCUGUCCAACGUUAAUCGGGGCAGGGUGAGUCGACCCCUAAGGCGAGGCCGAAAGGCGUAGUCGAUGGGAAACGGGUUAAUAUUCCCGUACUUGGUGUUACUGCGAAGGGGGGACGGAGAAGGCUAUGUUGGCCGGGCGACGGUUGUCCCGGUUUAAGCGUGUAGGUGUGUGUUCCAGGUAAAUCCGGUUCACUUUAACACUGAGGCGUGAUGACGAGGCACUACGGUGCUGAAGCAACAAAUGCCCUGCUUCCAGGAAAAGCCUCUAAGCAUCAGGUAACACGAAAUCGUACCCCAAACCGACACAGGUGGUCAGGUAGAGAAUACCAAGGCGCUUGAGAGAACUCGGGUGAAGGAACUAGGCAAAAUGGUGCCGUAACUUCGGGAGAAGGCACGCUGACACGUAGGUGAAGUGAUUUACUCAUGGAGCUGAAGUCAGUCGAAGAUACCAGCUGGCUGCAACUGUUUAUUAAAAACACAGCACUGUGCAAACACGAAAGUGGACGUAUACGGUGUGACGCCUGCCCGGUGCCGGAAGGUUAAUUGAUGGGGUCAGCGCAAGCGAAGCUCCUGAUCGAAGCCCCGGUAAACGGCGGCCGUAACUAUAACGGUCCUAAGGUAGCGAAAUUCCUUGUCGGGUAAGUUCCGACCUGCACGAAUGGCGUAAUGAUGGCCAGGCUGUCUCCACCCGAGACUCAGUGAAAUUGAACUCGCUGUGAAGAUGCAGUGUACCCGCGGCAAGACGGAAAGACCCCGUGAACCUUUACUAUAGCUUGACACUGAACAUUGAGCCUUGAUGUGUAGGAUAGGUGGGAGGCUUUGAAGUGUGGACGCCAGUCUGCAUGGAGCCGACCUUGAAAUACCACCCUUUAAUGUUUGAUGUUCUAACGUGGACCCGUUACCCGGGUUGCGGACAGUGUCUGGUGGGUAGUUUGACUGGGGCGGUCUCCUCCUAAAGAGUAACGGAGGAGCACGAAGGUUGGCUAAUCCUGGUCGGACAUCAGGAGGUUAGUGCAAUGGCAUAAGCCAGCUUGACUGCGAGCGUGACGGCGCGAGCAGGUGCGAAAGCAGGUCAUAGUGAUCCGGUGGUUCUGAAUGGAAGGGCCAUCGCUCAACGGAUAAAAGGUACUCCGGGGAUAACAGGCUGAUACCGCCCAAGAGUUCAUAUCGACGGCGGUGUUUGGCACCUCGAUGUCGGCUCAUCACAUCCUGGGGCUGAAGUAGGUCCCAAGGGUAUGGCUGUUCGCCAUUUAAAGUGGUACGCGAGCUGGGUUUAGAACGUCGUGAGACAGUUCGGUCCCUAUCUGCCGUGGGCGCUGGAGAACUGAGGGGGGCUGCUCCUAGUACGAGAGGACCGGAGUGGACGCAUCACUGGUGUUCGGGUUGUCAUGCCAAUGGCACUGCCCGGUAGCUAAAUGCGGAAGAGAUAAGUGCUGAAAGCAUCUAAGCACGAAACUUGCCCCGAGAUGAGUUCUCCCUGAGACUUAGAGUCUCCUGAAGGAACGUUGAAGACGACGACGUUGAUAGGCCGGGUGUGUAAGCGCAGCGAUGCGUUGAGCUAACCGGUACUAAUGAACCGUGAGGCUUAACCUUACAACGCCGAAG